rnacentral:misc_RNA from 1 species
AACCUUAUGGACCUGCGGGCGUAUACCUGCGGAAGGAUCAUUAACGAAUUAUAAUGCUGAGGUUGUAGCUGGCCUUUCAAUCGAGAGGUAUGUGCACGCCUUGGUCAUUCCAAAUUCUUAUACCUCUGUGCACUUUACAUAGAAGAUGUAUUAGUUGGGUGAAAAGGAGGCUUGACCUCCCGGUAAUUCGACUCAAUAGUCUUCUGUGGUUUAUACAUUUAUACCAGUCAGUUCAGAAUG